rnacentral:lncRNA from 1 species
GUAGGGCCCUGCGCCGGGGCCACCUCGCCGCCCGCGCCCGCGCCGGCUACCUGGCCUCCCCAACUCCUCGCAGCCACCGCUGGGAGGCGGCCCACAAAUGGUCCCGUUGUCACAGAGCAGGGACCCGAAGUCCAGAAAGAUGCCCACCGUCUGGUCCCGUCUGCGCCGGGGCCCACCCUCCAUCUCUCCGCCAGGCUCGCCCUCGGGCGGUGGUCCCAGAGGUGCUCUCCAAGGAGACUUUCAAAAAAGAAAAGGGGAAAAAAAAUGAAUGAAAUAAUAUUGAGGACACCUGGAUUUUAUCUUAGACCCUAAUGAAAAUGCAUACCCUCGGGGCCCCCCUUUUUGCCUUUGUCAUUUACAUCGCUCUUCGCCAAGUGACAGUUUUAAUCAUUCAAAGUGUUCCUUAAAAUCAUGAAUAGAAUUUCUUAAAUUCUUCAGCAGUGUUUCUUACAGGGAGGGACCGGGAUUCGUGGAGGGAGGUUGGGGAUUCCGGGAGUGAGAAUCGCACGUUUUCAAGUUCUCUUUAAAUCUCUCUCUCUGUCUCUGUUUUUUUUUUUUUUUUUUGUUUGUUUGUUUUUUUAAUUCUGGGUCUGGGUUUCCUUGGGAAGGCAAAAGGCAGGGAAGCCCUUGACUUCCAGAUGCGUACCAACGUCUUGCUCAGGAUGCCUUCCUGCCCUUAGCAUCUUCAUUUGUUGGGGUUGCACAGUACUUUGUGAGCGUAUCACUAGGGAGAAAGCUCAGGGCUUGACCCAACAGAUUCAUGUCCUUCUGCUCCUUCCCCCUGCUCUAAAAUAACAAGAGGCACCGGAAUAUGGGGACUUGGGAGACCCUUGUAUUAACCAAGGUGAGACCCCCUUUCUUUGCCUGUCAUUCAGGCGGGCAGCUUGACGUGGUUCAACACUGUAACCCUCAGGCAGAAGGACAGGUCGCAUCUUCCUUCUAAUUCAUUCUAGAUUUCUGAUCUGCUUUUUAAAAUAUAGCUUUAUUGAGAUAUAAUCUUUCAAUUUACAUGAUAUAAACUUAGAUAUUAUACAUUUAAAAUACACAAUUCAGUGAGUUUUAGCCUACUGACGAAUUUGUGUCACCAACACUGUACUCUAAUUUUGGAACACUUUCUUCACUCUAAAGAGAAACUUUCUUCUCAUUAAGUCAUCCUCGCCAAUGCUGGGUAACCACUAACCUACUUUCUUUCUGUCUCUAUAGAUUUAUCUAUUCUGGACAUUUCAUAUAAAUGGAGUCAUACAAUCAUACGAGGUGUGUGUGUGUGUGUGUGUGUGUGUGUGUGUGUGUGGUUUUGGGGAUUAAACCCAGGGGAACUCUACCCUGAGCUACAUCCCUGCUUCGUUUUGACUUUUAUUAUUACUUUAUUAAUUUUGAGACAGUGUCUCACUAAGUUGACUAGACUAACCUUGAACUUGCAAGGCUCCUGCCUCAGCCUUCCAAGUAGCUAGGUUACAGUUGUGUGCCACCAAUAAUGAAGUCUUUAGUGACUCUCUCCACUGAGCCUAAGGUUUUCAAGGCUCCUCCAUGCCGUAGAUUAUGUCACCAUUUUGUCACUUCUUUGUGGACAAAUCAUAUUUCACUGUGUGCAUAUGCCACAUUGUUUUUGGCCAUCUAUCCAUGAAUUGAUGAUCAGUUUCUUCUUUGUGGCUUUUAGAAUAAUGCUACUAUGAACUUUCAUUUGCAAGGUGAUUUGUGUAUAGAUUUCAUUUCUCUUGGGUGUAUGCCUCGGGUCAGAAUUGCUAUAAUACAUGGGAACUCUGUUUUUGAGGAACUGCCUAGAAUCCUCAUAUGCUGCUGGUGAGAAUGUAAAUAAAUAUAUGAGCAAUACAUGAGGAUGUUCAUCCUUGUUAGUACUCGACACUGUUUUUACUUGAUACCUCAUUGAAUUGCCUUUCCCUUGUGACUAAUCAUAUUAAGCCCCUUUUCAUGUGCUAAUUGGCCAUCUGUGUACUUUCUUUGAAGAAAAGCCUAUGCGAGUCUUUUGCUCAUUUUUAAAUUGGGUUGUCUUUUUUGAUUGUCGAGUUGUAAGAGUCAUUUAUAUUCUGUGUACAAGUCUCUUAUCAUAUAUAUGGUUUGCAAGUACUUUCUCCCAUCCUCUCAGUUGUUGUUUUAUUUUCUUGAUGAUAUCAUUGGAAGCUCAAGAGUUUUUCAUUUGUGAUGAAGGCCAAUUAAUUUUUUUUAAUUUUGGUGGGAUAUCAAUGACUAAUCUAAAGCCAUACAUUUUACUCCAAAGAGUUUUAUUAGCUUAGCUCUUACAUAUGGGUUUGUGAUCCAUUUUGACUUAGAUUCUGUGUGUGAUGUAAUAUAGGGGCCAAUCUGCUUUCGGUAGGGAAAUUCCCAUAAUUCAUCAACAGUCACUGAGGGGAAUUCCAAUACAGUAAGGUCACAAAUGGUACAAGCUUUAAAGUUGAUCUGAAUAUUUUCUAAAGUCUUUUGAAACAAAGAUUGUGAGAUUUUUUUUAAAAAGCAAUCUAAACUAUCAAGUGAGCAAUAUAAAAUGAAAGAGUAGCACUAUUUCAAACUGUUAAAAGUCUUGACCCAUUAGUGGGUUUUGAAAUUAUUUUAUUGGGUCCUAGCUCAUAUUUUUUUUUAAAAGUCAAGUUAAAAGAACAGACUAGAAAACAGAAACUAUCAGAAUGCAACUCCUGUAUCAAAAUGUUGUUUCAGAACUUGUGUGUGUGUGUGUGUGUGUGUGUGUUAGUGGGUGGAGGGGGGUGUAUCAGGAGUUGGUGUAAAAUGUGGGCCACAUUUUUAAAAGUUGGAAUGACACUGUAUAAACUACAGUUGUAGAAUUCUUUCAUUCCACAAACAUUUAUUGAGAGCUUAUUUUGUGCCAGGCCCUCUGCUAAGUGCUGGGGAUAAAAUGAUAAACACCACAUGGUCUCCACCCUGCAGCAGCCCACAUAUGGAGUAGGAUCCAUAUGGAAUUUCUAGAGACAGAAGAUUGGGCCUAAUUCCGUUCUCCCCAACCACAAAGAUUCCUUCCAAAUUUUGGUGUUGAGUCUCAUGACUUUUUUUAAUUAAUGCUCAGUGAUUUACUUCAUUCUAGAUUUAUAGACAUAGAAUUUUUCUUCCAAAGAGUGGAACUUUGUUCCCAGGUUCAUAAUUACAUACUAUGUUGAUUAUAUUGUGAAGGAAGUACAGGUCUCGUAAUGGGAGGUGACUUGCAACUGAAUUGAUUUCCAUUUGACUUCAACUACAUUUAAACUAACCUCACUGUGUAAAACUCUGGUGUUUAAAUAUUUUUAGGGGGGAAAUUUAAAAAAUAAUAACAAAUUUAUUUAUUUUUCCAAGAGGUCCUGCAAACCAGGGUAUUGGCAUUAAUAGUGACAUUUUGCCAUUUUAAAGACUGAGUUAAUGAAAUAAAUGUCCCUUAUUUCUAAUGGAGUUAUUCAUUUAUAGCAGCUGUGCACAAUCACGGCUCUGACAUGGGCUCCCCCUCUUUAUCUGUGACACCAUUUAUCAAUCUCCAGACACUAUAAAUUCCCAGGAGAUUUAGAAGAUCUUAAUUUAAAAUUUAAGAAAUCAUAAGCAAUUUAACAUGACGGACAGAUUAAAUGCACAGAUGCACACACGUAUACACACACAUACACACACAGUCAUCUACUUUUUGAACAGCAUGUUCCCACGUGUAAUUUUUAAAUCCAGUAAUGAAAUUUUACCUGUAACUCCCAAUUUGACUUUGAGUCUUACUAAAGGUCCUUUUGAAGUUCUUAAGUACCAAAGCUGAGCUUGUAAGACUUUCUUCUAAAUUCAGAUCGCUUGAUUUCUUGAUUUCUUCCAUAUACCUCUCUGCUUAAUUCAGCAUUCUAUUUAUGUUUUGAGCAUUUGCCUAGAAAUAAAAGAAAAGAUGGAACAUUUUAAUUAAGGAAUCAUCAGGUAGGGCUGGGGAUGUAGCUCAGUGGUAGAGCGCUUGACUGAUAGUGGUAUCCCAUAAGGCCUUGGGUGUGAACCCAGUAAAUCUCAUCCCCGACACAUGCACACACAAAUCACUAUGUAAGAAUGGAACAUAGCUAUAUUUGGCCAAAAAUGGAGAAUAUAGUCAACUUGAUACAUAUAUGUUUAUUUAUUAAUGCUUCAACAUAAGCUGUCUUUCAAGUAAUUUGCAAAAACUGAAAGAGACACAAUUUCAAGGCCCUACUCUCAAUAAUGUUCUUUCCUUCAAUAUUGAAUUAAAACACUCUUGUUUUUCUUUUACUCCUCUAUUUUAAAAAACCUUCUCUUUCAUUUUUCCUGAUGUGUGAACUGCCACAAAAUUAAUAAUAACAUUUAAUUUGGGGAAAAUUUCUUUUGGUAAUUUCAACAGUUUUGAGUUAGACUAUUUAAGUGUUAAGGUUUUAAUGGUUUGAAAACAUAUUUUAAAGAUUCAAAUAGUUCCUAUUUUGGGAAAUAAAAAAGUGAGCUAUUUGCCCUGCUCUUUCAUUUUUUUCCUCCACUUUUUAUGCUAAAAAUUGACUAUGUUGGGCUGGGACUGUGGCUCAGCAGUAGAGCGCUCACCUAGC